UACGUAAGGGGCAAGCGUUGUCCGGAAUCAUUGGGCGUAAAGCGCGUGUAGGCGGCUCGAUAAGUCUGCUGUGAAAGUCCAGGGCUCAACCCUGGGAUGCCGGUGGAUACUGUCGAGCUCGAGUCCGGAAGAGGCGAGUGGAAUUCCUGGUGUAGCGGUGAAAUGCGCAGAUAUCAGGAGGAACACCAAUGGCGAAGGCAGCUCGCUGGGACGGUACUGACGCUGAGACGCGAAAGCGUGGGGAGCAAACAGG
rnacentral:rRNA from 1 species